rnacentral:RNase_P_RNA from 1 species
UCAGUCGGCCGGACGGCCGCUCCGGCAGGUGCCGAAAGGCCGCCGGGGAGGAAAGUCCGGGCUCCCUUGACAUGCGGUGCCGGAUAACGUCCGGCGGGGGUGACCCCAGGGAAAGUGCCACAGAGAACGAACCGCUCCGCCCCGCCUUCGGGCUUCGCGGAGUAAGGGUGAAAAGGUGCGGUAAGAGCGCACCGCGGCUGCGGCAACGGAGCCGGCAUGGCAAACCCCACCGGGAGCAAAACCGAAUAGGGACGGCGUAGCGGGCUGUUCGCGAAAGCGAUAACGCCGCGGGGCGAUGUCAGGCCCGCCGUCCGGGUAGGUUGCUCGAGGCCGUGUGCAAACACGGUCCCAGAGGAAUGGCCGUCACGUAUCGUUUCCGCGCAAGCGGGCGGUGCCCUACAGAACCCGGCUUACAGGCCGGCUGAUAUC